rnacentral:rRNA from 1 species
UACGAAGGGGGCUAGCGUUGGUCGGAAUUACUGGGCGUAAAGGGCGCGUAGGCGGUGUGUCAAGUCAGGCGUGAAAGCCCCGGGCUCAACCUGGGAACAGCGCUUGAGACUGGCACGCUCGAGUUCGGGAGAGGAUGGUGGAAUUCCCAGUGUAGAGGUGAAAUUCGUAGAUAUUGGGAAGAACACCGAUGGCGAAGGCAGCCAUCUGGACCGACACUGACGCUGAGGCGCGAAAGCGUGGGGAGCAAACAGG